rnacentral:rRNA from 1 species
CCUACGGGAGGCAGCAGUAGGGAAUCUUGCUCAAUGGAGGAAACUCUGAAGCAGCAACGCCGCGUGGAGGAUGAAGGUUUUCGGAUUGUAAACUCCUUUUGUUAGAGAAGAUAAUGACGGUAUCUACCGCAUUCGUACUGUCUAACUCUGUUCCAGCAGCCGCGGUACUACGGAGGGUACAAGCGUUACUCGGAAUCACUGGGCGUAAAGCGCGCGUGAGUGGGAUAGCAAGUCAGAUGUGAAAUCCUAGGGCUUAACCAUAGAUCUGCAGUGGAAACUGUUAUUCUAGAGUAUGGGAGAGGUAGGUGGAAUUCUUGGUGUAGGGGUAAAAUCCGUAGAUAUCAGGAGGAAUACUCAUUGCGAAGGCGACCUGCUAGAACAUAACUGACGCUGAUGCGCGAAAGCGUGGGGAGCAAACAGGAUUAGAUACCCGAGUAGUC